rnacentral:rRNA from 1 species
UACAGAGGGGGCAAGCGUUGUUCGGAAUUACUGGGCGUAAAGAGCGUGUAGGCGGUCCGGUAAGUCAGCUGUGAAAGUCAAGGGCUCAACCCUUGAAUGCCGGUUGAUACUGUCGGGCUAGAGUCCGGAAGAGGCGAGUGGAAUUCCCGGUGUAGCGGUGAAAUGCGCAGAUAUCGGGAGGAACACCAAUGGCGAAGGCAGCUCGCUGGGACGGUACUGACGCUGAGACGCGAAAGCGUGGGGAGCAAACAGG